rfam:Sorghum bicolor cultivar BTx623 chromosome 3, whole genome shotgun sequence.
GUAGUCGGAUUCGCAUCACAUGUGUUGAGGUAGGUUGGAGUGGAACUUAAACUAAAUUCCAUCCCAAUCUACUCCAACACAUGUGGAUUGAGGUGAAUCCGACA